ensembl:lncRNA
GUAGAGGUAGUGGUGGAGGUGGAGGUGGUUGUAGAGGUAGUGGUGGAGGUGCUGGAGGUGGUGGAUGUAGUGGUGAAGGUGGUGGAGGUAGUGGUGGUUUAGGAGGUAGAGGUGGAGGUGGUGGAGGUGAUGGUGGUUUUAGAGGUAGUGUUGGAGGUGGAGGUGGUUGUAGAGGUAGUGGUGGAGGUGGUGGUGGUUGUGGAAGUAGUGGUGGAGGUGGAGGUGAAGGUGGAGGUGGUGGAGGUGGUGGUGGUUGUAGAGGUAGUGGUGGAGUUGGUGGAGGUAGUGGUGGUGGAGGUAGUGGUAUUGUAGAGGUGGUGGAUCUGGUGGUGGAUCUGGUGGUGGUUGUAGAUGUGGUGGUUGUGGAGGUAGUGGUGGAGGUAGUGGUGGUUGUGGAGGUAGUGGUGGAGGUGGAGGUUGUUGUGGAGGUGGUGGUGGUUGUGGAGGUGGUGGAGGUGGUGGUGGUGGUGGAGGUGGUGGUGGUUGUGGAGUUGGUGGUGGUUGUGGAGGUAGUGGUGGAGGUAGUGGUGGUUGU